rnacentral:rRNA from 1 species
AUUGAACGCUGGCGGCAUGCCUUACACAUGCAAGUCGAACGGUAACGGGCCUUCGGGUGCCGACGAGUGGCGAACGGGUGAGUAAUACAUCGGAACGUGCCCGAUCGUGGGGGAUAACGCGGCGAAAGCUUUGCUAAUACCGCAUACGAUCUACGGAUGAAAGCAGGGGACCGCAAGGCCUUGCGCGGACGGAGCGGCCGAUGGCAGAUUAGGUAGUUGGUGGGAUAAAAGCUUACCAAGCCGACGAUCUGUAGCUGGUCUGAGAGGAUGAUCAGCCACACUGGGACUGAGACACGGCCCAGACUCCUACGGGAGGCAGCAGUGGGGAAUUUUGGACAAUGGGCGCAAGCCUGAUCCAGCCGUGCCGCGUGCAGGAUGAAGGCCUUCGGGUUGUAAACUGCUUUUGUACGGAACGAAAAGCCUUCUUUUAAUACAGGAGGGUCAUGACGGUACCGUAAGAAUAAGCACCGGCUAACUACGUG